AAUUUCAGCUGUAUUUUAUUUUAUUACUUCUCAGAAUGAGGGGAUCAGUGGAAAGGCCAGCGUUUGUUGUCCAUCCCGAGUACAGGUGAACAAUUCGGCAUAAUUUGCAAGAAUAGCUGGGUCGGCAGCUGUGGAUCAACCACAAUAGUCAAAUAGAGACCAGAUGAGAUUCAAAAUCUCAGCCUGCCAUGGUUGGAUUUAAGUUCAAGUCCUCUGAAGUAUGCACACAAACGGAAUGAGGUAAUGCAGCUACCAUGACACCAACCAAUGAGUUGAGAGAUCGAUAUUGACUGCGCAGAAUGCUUAUCUACUUGGGUAGAAACACUGCUGCAAUAAACUGAUGACUUGCAGAUGGAAGUUGCAAGUAUAUUACUUAUGGCCUUCCUCAUGAAUAUCUCUCAAGGAUCGAGAGUAGGGCCAUACAGACAAGAUAACUUCCAACAACAAAGUCCUGCUGCUUCCUUCCCUGUUAAUGUGGAUACACAAGUCGCUACGCAAAUCCAUUCUUCUGAAACAAAUCAGUUUUAGCAACAAAAGGAACAAUUCCAUUGUCAUGAUUGUGGAAGAUUAAAUUCACCUUGAAAAAAGCCAUUACAAAAACAAGAGAACAGCAGUGUGCAUCAGGUGUAACAGCAACUCCAUUUGGAUGGCACUGGCUUCCAGUGGAGCUGCUGUUACUUUCGAUGGGCACUAACAUAUCAAGGAUCCCUUUCCUACUGAAGCCACGCUGUUUCUACAAAUUAACUGACCCGGUAUUGUUGUUGAUUUUCCAUAAUGUUAUGGUGUACAGGACUAUGACCUAUGAAUUGACAGCCAGUGCAAUUAUAGAUUUGCCUGUCAGUUCUAUAGGCCACUAUCCUGUUCGCUACAUAUUAUACAAAGGUUCAAUCCACACUUUGGGAACACAAUUUACGUCUGUAUUUUCUAAACUUUAAUGAAGUAAUGAUCUGAAUUUAUUCCACAGUAACUAUUCAAAUGAACUUCUGUUCUUUUGCAUGUUAAAAAAAAACAUGUUUGUAAUUAUUAUUCCAAAUACCUUACAACUUGUUAUCACAAAUAAGUAUCCACAGUAAUAAAACAUAAA